rnacentral:rRNA from 1 species
ACUAACAAGGAUUCCCCUAGUAACUGCGAGUGAAGCGGGAAAAGCUCAAAUUUAAAAUCUGGCGGUCUUUGGCCGUUCGAGUUGUAAUUUAGAGAAGCGUCUUCCGCGCUGGACCGUGCACAAGUCUCCUGGAACGGAGCGUCAUAGAGGGUGAGAAUCCCGUCUUUGGCACGGAACCCCGGUGCUUCUGUGAUGCGCUCUCGAAGAGUCGAGUUGUUUGGGAAUGCAGCUCAAAAUGGGUGGUGAACUCCAUCUAAAGCUAAAUAUUGGCGAGAGACCGAUAGCGAACAAGUACCGUGAGGGAAAGAUGAAAAGCACUUUGGAAAGAGAGUGAAACAGUACGUGAAAUUGUUGAAAGGGAAACGCUUGAAGUCAGUCGCGUCGAUCGAGACUCAGCCUUGCCUUGGCUUGGUGUACUUCUCGACCGACGGGCCAGCAUCAAUUUUGCCUCUCGGAUAAUGGCAAGGGAAAGGUGGCACCCUUACGGGUGUGUUAUAGUCUCCUGUCGCAUGCGAGGGGUGGGAUUGAGGAACUCAGCACGCACCUUUCAGGUGUCGGGGCUUCGGCCCACGUUACGUGCUUAGGAUGUUGGCGUAAUGGCUUUAAACGACCCGUCUUGAAACACGGACCAAGGAGUCUAACAUGCCCGCGAGUGUUCGGGUGGAAAACCCGUGCGCGAAAUGAAAGUGAAAGUUGGGACCUCUGUCGUGGAGGGCACCGACGCCCGGACCAGACCUUCUGUGACGGCUCUGCGGUAGAGCGUGCAUGUUGGGACCCGAAAGAUGGUGAACUAUGCCUGAAUAGGGUGAAGCCAGAGGAAACUCUGGUGGAGGCUCGUAGCGAUUCUGACGUGCAAAUCGAUCGUCAAAUUUGGGUAUAGGGGCGAAAGACUAAUCGA